rnacentral:snRNA from 1 species
GUGUUUCCUUUGACAGCACAUAAACUAAACUAAAAUAAAGAUACAGAGAAGACUAGCAUAGCCCCUGUUCAAGGAUUAUAUACAAGUCUAUGAAGCAUUCCAUAUUAAA